rnacentral:rRNA from 1 species
CUUCCAGACUCCUACGGGAGGCAGCAGUGGGGAAUAUUGGGCAAUGGGCGCAAGCCUGACCCAGCAACGCCGCGUGAAAGAAGAAGGCUUUCGGGUUGUAAACUUCUUUUGUCAGGGACGAAGCAAGUGACGGUACCUGACGAAUAAGCCACGGCUAACUACGUGCCAGCAGCCGCGGUAAUACGUAGGUGGCAAGCGUUAUCCGGAUUUAUUGGGUGUAAAGGGCGUGUAGGCGGGAAUGCAAGUCAGAUGUGAAAUCCGGGGGCUCAACCCCCGAACUGCAUUUGAAACUGUUGGUCUUGAGUAUCGGAGAGGCAGGCGGAAUUCCUAGUGUAGCGGUGAAAUGCGUAGAUAUUAGGAGGAACACCAGUGGCGAAGGCGGCCUGCUGGACGACAACUGACGGUGAGGCGCGAAAGCGUGGGGAGCAAACAGGAUUAGAUACCCCCGUAC